rnacentral:rRNA from 1 species
UGAGGAAUAUUGCGCAAUGGGGGCAACCCUGACGCAGCGACGCCGCGUGAGUGAGGAAGGCCUUCGGGUCGUAAAGCUCUGUCAAGAGGGAAGAAGUGUGCAUUGGUGAAUAUCUGGUGCAUUUGACGGUACCUCUAAAGGAAGCACCGGCUAACUCCGUGCCAGCAGCCGCGGUAAUACGGAGGGUGCAAGCGUUGUUCGGAAUCACUGGGCGUAAAGGGCGCGCAGGCGGUUUGAUCAGUCAGAUGUGAAAGCCCACGGCUUAACCGUGGAAGUGCAUUUGAAACUGUCAGACUUGAGUACCAGAGGGGAAAGUGGAAUUCCCGGUGUAGAGGUGAAAUUCGUAGAUAUCGGGAGGAAUACCGGUGGCGAAGGCGACUUUCUGGCUGAGUACUGACGCUGAGGCGCGAAAGCGUGGGGAGCAAACA